rnacentral:rRNA from 1 species
GAUGAACGCUGGCGGCGUGCCUAAUACAUGCAAGUCGAGCGGACAGACGAGGAGCUUGCUCCUCUGACGUUAGCGGCGGACGGGUGAGUAACACGUGGAUAACCUACCUAUAAGACUGGGAUAACUUCGGGAAACCGGAGCUAAUACCGGAUAAUAUAUUGAACCGCAUGGUUCAAUAGUGAAAGACGGUUUUGCUGUCACUUAUAGAUGGAUCCGCGCCGCUUGAGCUAGUUGGUAAGGUAACGGCUUACCAAGGCGACGAUGCUUAGCCGACCUGAAAGGGAGAACGGCCACCCUGGAACUGAGACACAGUCCAGACUCCUACGGGAGGCAGCGGUAGGGAAUCUUCCGCAAUGGGCGAAAGCCUGACGGAGCAACGCCGCGUGAGUGAUGAAGGUCUUAGGAUCGUAAAACGCUGUUAUUAGGGAAGAACAAAUGUGUAAGUAACUAUGCACGUCUUGACGGUACCUAAUCAGAAAGCCACGGCUAACUACGUG